CAGUCCUGGGGUGAUUAUCACUGAAAUACACAAACGAGGGGGUAUGGACGAUGAAGAAUACUCGAAGUUCUUAGAACAUUCUAAACUGACACACGCCUUGGGUCGCCCUGGACAUGUGGAAGAAGUGGCUAGUGUAAUCGCUUUCCUGGCGUCAAGUGACUCGUCUUUCAUGACGGGAGCCUCACUGCCUGUAGACGGAGGAAGGCACGCUAUGUGCCCGAGAUAAAAAAACAAAAAACAAAAAAACAAAAACAAAAACAAACAAGACAAAACAAAACUACAAACUGAGCAUUGUUACCAAAAGAAAACAAGACCAACUUAAUAUCAAGUGCGCGAGGAACAGAUCACUUAUCAUUCUAUGUAGUAUCUGGACUCACGUAAGAACCAUCGCUUGAAGACUGAUUUCAAUAGUAAAUGCCAAACGGUAGAAAGAAUCAUCCAAGGCUUGAUAGCACUUAGCUUAACGUUCGACUGCAGUGCACCUUUUUAUUUUCUUUCCUUUGAAGGUUACGUUCUACCGUUAUGAAUGAAUUAAUGAAAUGAUGUUUGAGAAGUGGAAUGAUGUGAUAAUGUAACUUCAUUUACGAGGGAUUGCGUGAUCUAGCAAAAAAAAUAUAUUCUUGGUGGCCAAAUAUCUGCAAAUAAAGUUUAUUUCAAUCAAA